rnacentral:lncRNA from 1 species
GACUUCUUAUUCUUUCCUUCCGAGUCUCCUGUUAUCCCCUUCAACAUCUUUUCUCCCCCGCGGCUAUGAUUUCUAGGGUUCAUCUAGCAGUCGAUCCGUCCCCUGUCUCGCGCUGUGGAUCCGUUGUUGCGCUCGCUAGUUCACACGCGAGAUCGAGAUGGCUUCCACUGGUUCGUGCUUUUUUCUCCCUUCCUCCCCUCCCUUAAAAGUGAUAGUGGAUCCGCUCACUAGGCUUUUGUAAAAUUAGUGCUCGUUUUGGGUAUGUUUCCUGGCAGGACGCGCAUGUUUUUGUGUUUGUUAGGGUUCGUCCUACCUUUUUUCUGUCGUGGAUCCCUUUUCGAUCUGGGAGGUCAAAGCAAAGUUAUUGAUGCUCGCUGGCAUCUUGUUGACUGUGUGGUACGAUAGAGGUUCAGGAGUUUAGUGCAUGCUCCUUGAUGUGCAUUUUUUACAAGUCAAGUCCAAGUUCUUUGUGUAUGUCCAAUUUUUUUCUAUUCCUUGACAAAAAGUUUCAUUAAUCAAGAGUCAUCGAUGUGGAUAACAACUACAGAAAACUAGUUGAAAGAAGGUAGUGACCUGUGUUGUGGGUUCACUUGAGGUGGGGAGCUGGUUGAUGCGGCUCGGUUCGUUCAAUCUGCUAGGGAUUCGUCCCUGUUUCUUAACCCUUAGAUUAUUCUCGUGCUCUUUUUUGGUACGGUUUGCUCCAAACAGUUGCUGAUGCGUUCGAAUCUGGUAGGGAUUUUGGUCGUCAUUGUAGCUGAUGCGUUCAAAUCUGGUAGGGAUUUACUCAUCACAGUACAUGAUGCGUUUGAUCUGGCAGGGAUUUGCUCAUCACAGUACUUGUUUAGGACGAUUUUUGGUAGGGAUUGAUCAUCACAGUACUUGUUUUCAGUAGGGAUUGCUCAUCUUAGUUGUUUUCCGUGGGGAUUGCUCAUCCUAGUUGGUGCUUGUUGGGGUUUUUAUUUGAAGGACUGGUCAUCACAUUAGUUGGUUUAUUAAGGAAAAAGUGUGUCCAAUCUGAACCAUGACUUGUAUGAUUCUUUUAGUAAUCACUUCCCUUUUUUAAUGAAAUACAUUUAGCAUUUUAUACCUACAUUUACUAAAUAGUUUUUUCUUGCACUAUCUUUUAUUUUUUGAUGUUGUUUAUGACUCUUAAGUUUUAUACCUGCCUCUAAUUGAUUUUGUAGGUGAAAAUGUUCCUGUACAGUCUAAAGCAAUUUUCCAGUCAUGUUUCUCUACUAUUCGAUGGGCCAAAGCUGUUAGUAAGAUGUCUGUUAGUAAGAUGUCUGUAUUGCAGAGAAGCUUUAUACCAGAGCAAUUUAAACAUCUUCUGAAUGUGCGCGAACAUGUUAUUCUGCCCAUGGAUUUGCUUCAAUGGCUAGCAAAACAUAUCCGCUAUGGUCAAGUAGGUAUUUUUGAGCAGAGAUAGUCAUUCAUAUCACCUGAGAUAUGGUUGAUAUGGUUUUUGGGUGGCGUUCUGGUCCUGUUCCUUUCUGUCUUGAGAGCAGUGAUAUUAAUGUUGUUGAGCAAGUAAUGUUACUGCGGAAGAAAUAUAGCGAUGAUGGCAUGAUAAAGGUUGGCCACGCUUGAAACAGUAAUGUUAUUUCAGUCUAGUAAUGGUAAUGAGAUAGUUUUUGUUCUUGCGCACGGUUUUAUUAAUUUUUUACUUUCUUGAAGACCGAUGAACUUGUUUUCAAAAGAAUGAACAUAUUUUGAGCAAAAUACAUGAUGAAUAUUACAAUAUACACGACAUACAAUAUUUAAAUGCACAAUAAACACUUUUUAAAAAUGUGAUGAACAAAAAUAUAAGAACAGAAGAAAACAUAGAAAACAAAUUCUCUUGUAUAUAAAAAUGUUUAUCAUUUUAAAAAAUACCAUAUAUUUUUAGAAUAUACAAUGAAUAUAUUUUUCAAACAGUUCAUAGUUUUUGAAAAAAAAA